GGGGUUGACUGGAUUUGACAGCAACGCAGUGUGAUGGUAAGCAUGCCGAGUAUUGUGAAUAUAGCUCGUAAAUCCUAAUUCUCAACAGCUAUGUAAAUGGCGAUAACAACAAUUACGCUCUUGCUGCGUAGUCAUAGCUCAGCUAGACUACCUUAAUCCAUGAAACAUAGUUUCUGGACGAGGCCUUCCUUCAGACGGACACGCUCUGUUCCAAGCUGAAUAUAGGGAGUCGUAAAUUCAGAGAUAGCUUUUAGUAUUCUUCGGGCUAAUGGCGAAACAAAGAAGAUAAGUUUUUAGUUCGGGUGUCUUUUCCCUGCUAACUACCGACAAUCAAUAGAAGAAUAAGCAUGUAGAAAGCCUUUGUGCUACUUGUUUGGACGAGGGUUCGAAACCCUCCAACUCCACAC
rnacentral:tmRNA from 1 species